rnacentral:rRNA from 1 species
CGACGGAACUUAGUUGAAGGAAUUCUUCGGAAGGACAUUGGUUAAGUUUAGUGGCGGACGGGUGAGUAACGCGUGAGUAACCUGCCUCCGAGAGGGGAAUAACAAUCUGAAAAGAUUGCUAAUACCGCAUAACAUAGCGAAGUCGCAUGGCAGCGCUAUCAAAGAUUUAUCGCUCGGAGAUGGACUCGCGUCCGAUUAGUUAGUUGGUGAGGUAACGGCUCACCAAGACCGCGAUCGGUAGCCGGACUGAGAGGUUGAACGGCCACAUUGGGACUGAGACACGGCCCAGACUCCUACGGGAGGCAGCAGUGGGGGAUAUUGCGCAAUGGGGGAAACCCUGACGCAGCAACGCCGCGUGAAGGAUGAAGGUUUUCGGAUUGUAAACUUCUUUUAUUAAGGACGAAAAAAUGACGGUACUUAAUGAAUAAGCUCCGGCUAACUACGUGCCAGCAGCCGCGGUAAUACGUAGGGAGCAAGCGUUGUCCGGAUUUACUGGGUGUAAAGGGUGCGUAGGCGGCUUUGCAAGUCAGAUGUGAAAUCUAUGGGCUCAACCCAUAAACUGCAUUUGAAACUGUAGAGCUUGAGUGAAGUAGAGGCAGGCGGAAUUCCCCGUGUAGCGGUGAAAUGCGUAGAGAUGGGGAGGAACACCAGUGGCGAAGGCGGCCUGCUGGGCUUUAACUGACGCUGAGGCACGAAAGCGUGGGUAGCAAACAGGAUUAGAUACCCUGGUAGUCCACGCUGUAAACGAUGAUUACUAGGUGUGGGGGGUCUGACCCCUUCCGUGCCGG